rnacentral:rRNA from 1 species
UACAGAGGGUGCGAGCGUUGUCCGGAAUCACUGGGCGUAAAGGGCGCGUAGGUGGCGACCCAAGUCGAUGGUGAAAGCUCGCCGCUCAACGGCGAGUCGGCCACUGAUACUGGGUUGCUGGAGCACUGUAGAGGCAGAUGGAAUUCCGGGUGUAGCGGUGGAAUGCGUAGAGAUCCGGAAGAACACCGGUGGCGAAGGCGGUCUGCUGGGCAGUUUGGCUGACACUGAGGCGCGACAGCGUGGGGAGCAA